UACGUAGGAGACGAGCGUUGUCCGGAGUUACUGGGCGUAAAGGGUGCGCAGGCGGCCCUGCGCGUCGCGAGUGAAAUCUCCCGGCUCAACUGGGAGGGUGGUCGCGAGACGGCAGGGCUUGAGGCUCGGUGAGGGGCGUGGAAUUCCGGGUGGAGCGGUGAAAUGCGUAGAGAUCCGGAGGAACACCAGUGGCGAAGGCGACACGCUGGGCCGUACCUGACACUGAUGCGCGACAGCAUGGGGAGCAAACAGG
rnacentral:rRNA from 1 species